rnacentral:rRNA from 1 species
AGUGGCGGACGGGUGAGUAACGCGUGAGAAUCCGCCUUGGGGUCGGGGACAACCACUGGAAACGGUGGCUAAUACCGGAUAAGCCGAUUGGUGAAAGAUUUAUUGCCCGAAGAGGAGCUCGCGUCUGAUUAGCUAGUUGGUGAGGUAAGAGCUCACCAAGGCAGCGAUCAGUAGCUGGUCUGAGAGGACGAUCAGCCACACUGGGACUGAGACACGGCCCAGACUCCUACGGGAGGCAGCAGUGGGGAAUUUUCCGCAAUGGGCGAAAGCCUGACGGAGCAAGACCGCGUGAGGGAGGAAGGCUCUUGGGUUGUAAACCUCUUUUCUCAGGGAAGAAGCUCUGACGGUACCUGAGGAAUCAGCCUCGGCUAACUCCGUGCCAGCAGCCGCGGUAAUACGGAGGAGGCAAGCGUUAUCCGGAAUUAUUGGGCGUAAAGCGUCCGCAGGUGGCGAUUCAAGUCUGCUGUCAAAGCACGGGGCUUAACUCCGUAAAGGCAGUGGAAACUGAAUAGCUAGAGUGCCGUAGGGGUAGAGGGAAUUCCCGGUGUAGCGGUGAAAUGCGUAGAGAUCGGGAAGAACAUCGGUGGCGAAAGCGCUCUACUGGACGGCAACUGACACUCAGGGACGAAAGCUAGGGGAGCGAAUGGGAUUAGAUACCCC